rnacentral:rRNA from 1 species
UACGUAGGGUGCGAGCGUUGUCCGGAAUUAUUGGGCGUAAAGAGCUUGUAGGCGGUUUGUCGCGUCUGCUGUGAAAUUUCGGGGCUCAACCCCCGAACUUGCAGUGGGUACGGGCAGACUAGAGUGUGGUAGGGGAGACUGGAAUUCCUGGUGUAGCGGUGAAAUGCGCAGAUAUCAGGAGGAACACCGGUGGCGAAGGCGGGUCUCUGGGCCGAUGACUGACGCUGAGGAGCGAAAGCGUGGGGAGCGAACAGG